GAUGAACGCUGGCGGCGUGCCUAAUACAUGCAAGUCGAGCGAACAGACGAGGAGCUUGCUCCUCUGACGUUAGCGGCGGACGGGUGAGUAACACGUGGAUAACCUACCUAUAAGACUGGGAUAACUUCGGGAAACCGGAGCUAAUACCGGAUAAUAUAUUGAACCGCAUGGUUCAAUAGUGAAAGACGGUUUUGCUUUCACUUAUAGAUGGAUCCGCGCCGCAUUAGCUAGUUGGUAAGGUAACGGCUUACCAAGGCAACGAUGCGUAGCCGACCUGAGAGGGUGAUCGGCAACACUGGAACUGAGACACGGUCCAGACUCCUACGGGAGGCAGCAGUAGGGAAUCUUCCGCAAUGGGCGAAAGCCGGACGGAGCAACGCCGCGUGAGUGAUGAAGGUCUUCGGAUCGUAAAACUCUGUUAUUAGGGAAGAACAAAUGUGUAAGUAACUAUGCACGUCUUGACGGUACCUAAUCAGAAAGCCACGGCUAACUACGUG
rnacentral:rRNA from 1 species